CCUACGGGAGGCAGCAGUAAGGAAUAUUGGACAAUGGCCGCAAGGCUGAUCCAGCCAUGCCGCGUGCAGGAUGACGGUGCUCUGCAUUGUAAACUGCUUUUGUUCGGGAAUAAACCUCUUCACGUGUGAGGAGUUGAAUGUACCGAAAGAAUAAGGGACGGCUAACUUCGUGCCAGCAGCCGCGGUAAUACGAAGGUCCCAAGCGUUAUCCGGAUUUAUUGGGUUUAAAGGGUGCGUAGGCGGGUUAUUAAGUCAGUGGUGAAAGCUCCCAGCUCAACUGGGAAACUGCCAUUGAUACUGAUAGUCUUGAGUAUGAUUGAAGUGGGCGGAAUGUGUCAUGUAGCGGUGAAAUGCUUAGAUAUGACACAGAACACCGAUUGCGAAGGCAGCUCACUAAGCCAUAACUGACGCUGAUGCACGAAAGCGUGGGGAGCAAACAGGAUUAGAUACCCUGGUAGUCCACGCCCUAAACGAUGAUCACUCGAUGUGUGCGAUAAACUGUACGCGUCCAAGCGAAAGCAUUAAGUGAUCCNCGNGGAGACGACGCGAGUGAAGANAAGAGAGUUAGAGGCGNGAGAGNGCGACGGACGACGACGAGGGGAGAGG
rnacentral:rRNA from 1 species